rnacentral:misc_RNA from 1 species
GUAGGUGAACCUGCGGAAGGAUCAUUACAAAUGACCGGCCGAAAGGCCACGCCGAAGCGCGGUUUCCCCCCGAACCGCGCUGAACGGUCUACCCUUUGUGAAAACCCCUCGUUGCUUCGGCAGCACCUCCUUGCCAUCGGUAAGGGGGGUUAGCCUGCCGACAGCACCCUUCAAAACCCAUGUUGCAAAACCAGUACUCUGUCUGAUAAAGCAGUCGAAUUGACUUUAAAACUUUCAACAACGGAUCUCUUGGUUCCC